rnacentral:rRNA from 1 species
AGUUUGAUUCUGGCUCAGAUUGAACGCUGGCGGGAUGCUUUACAUGCAAGUCGAACGGCAGCACGGGCUUCGGUCUGGUGGCGAGUGGCGAACGGGUAGGUAUCCGGAACGUGCCUAGUAGCGGGGGAUAACUACGCGAAGGCGUAGCUAAUACCUCGCCCGGCGUCGAGAAAGCGGGGACCUUCGGGCCUCGCACUAUUAAGGCAGCCGAUAUCCAGUUAGCUAGUUGGUGGGGUAACGGCUCACCAAGGCGACGAUCCGUAGCUGGUUUUGAAGGACAGCCAGCCACACUGGGACGAGACGACCCGGAGCUCCUACGGGAGGCAGCGGAUGAGAAUUUGGACAAUGGGGAAACCUGAUCCAGCCAUCCCGCGUGUGCGAUGAAGGCCUUCAGUUUGUAAAGCACUUUUGGCAGGAAAAGAAACGGCACGGGAUAAUACCCCGUGCAACUGACGUUUCCUGCAGAAUAAGCACCAGCCCAACUACGUGCCAGCGGCAGCGGUAAUACGUAGGGUGCAAGCGUUAAUCGGAAUUACUGGGCGUAGCGUGCGCAGGCGGUUCGGAAGAAAGAUGUGAAAUCCAGAGAGCUUAACACUGAACUGCAUUUUUAACUACCGAGCUAGAGUGUGUCAGAGGGAGGUGGAAUUCCGCGUGUAGCAGUGAAAUGCGUAGAUAUGCGGAGGAACACCGAUGGCGAAGGCAGCCUCCUGGGACAACUUACUGACGCUCAUGCGAAAGCGACAGAAUGACAGGAUUAGAUACCCUGGUAGUCCACGCCACAAACGAUGUCAACUAGCUGUUGAGGCCUUCGGGCCUUGGUAGCGCAACUAACGCGUGAAGUUGACCGCCUGGGGAAGUACAGUCGCAAGAUUAAAACUCAAAGGAAUUGACGGGGACCCGCACAAGCCGGUGGAUGAUGGAUUAAUUCGAUGCAACACCGAAAAAGCCUUACCCACGACAUGGUAUGUCUGGAAUCCCGAAGAGAUUUGGGAGUGGCUGUUCAAGAGAACCGGAACACAGGUGCUGCAUAGCUGUCGUCAGCUCGUGUCGUGAGAUGUUGGGUUAAGUCCCGCAACGAGCACCAACCCUUGUCAUUAGUUGCUGCAGAGGGCACUCUGUGGGACUGCCGAGUGACAAACCGGAGGAAGGUGGGGAUGACGUCAAGUCCUCAUGGCCCUUAUGGGUAGACUACGUCAUACAAUGGUCGGGACAGAGGGUCGCCAACCCGCGAGGGGAGCCAAUGCAGAAACCCGAUCGUAGUCCGGAUCGAUCUUACAACUCGACUGCGUGAAGUCGGAAUCGCUAGUAAUCGCGGAUCGCAGCAUGUCGCGGUGAAUACGUUCCCGGGUCUUGUACACACCACUGCGUCACACCGGGGUGGGUUUGCAAGUGAUGCAAAACUGCUAACCGUAAGGAGGGCGAUUACCACGGUAAGUUCAUGACUGGGGUGAAGUGUGACACAAGGUAA